rnacentral:rRNA from 1 species
UACGAAGGGGGCUAGCGUUGCUCGGAAUUACUGGGGCGUAAAGGGCGCGUAGGCGGAUACUUAAGUCGGGGGUGAAAGCCCGGGGCUCAACCUCGGAAUUGACCUUCGAUACUGGGUAUCUUGAGUUCGGGAGAGGUGAGUGGAAUGGCCGAGUGUAGAGGUGAAAUUCGUAGAUAUUCGGCGGAACACCGGUGGCGAAGGCGGGUCUCUGGGCCGAUACUGACGCUGAGGCGC